rnacentral:lncRNA from 1 species
ACCUGAAAAUUCACUUCAGAUGAUCUAGUCUGAUCAGAACUGAGUCUACUAUUCCCCCCAUUCUUCAGCAUAGCAGAUUCAAAAGACUAUAACAUAGCAAAAGGGCCCUUUCACUAGUGGCUAGUGCUAUGGAUCCUAUCAACAGAUCAAAUCAGCACCCGCUCUGUUACCAAGUUUUUGUUCUCAAUUACAUAAUAAAUGGGAUCAGAUACAAAAUUAUGUAUAUAAAGAGAGGGGAA